CAUCCGCGUGAGUGAAGAAGGCCUUCGGGUUGUAAAGCUCUUUCGCAAGGGAAGAAAACUUAUGAUCGAAUAAAUCAUGAGGUUGACGGUACCUUGAUAAGAAGCACCGGCUAACUACGUGCCAGCAGCCGCGGUAAUACGUAGGGUGCGAGCGUUAAUCGGAAUUACUGGGCGUAAAGCGUGCGCAGGCGGUUUUGUAAGUCGGAUGUGAAAUCCCCGGGCUCAACCUGGGAACUGCGUUCGAAACUGCAAGGCUAGAGUGUGUCAGAGGGGGGUAGAAUUCCACGCGUAGCAGUGAAAUGCGUAGAGAUGUGGAGGAAUACCAAUGGCGAAGGCAGCCCCCUGGGAUAACACUGACGCUCAUGCACGAAAGCGUGGGGAGCAAACAGGAUUAGAUACCCUGGUAGUCCACGCCCUAAACGAUGCUGACUAGUUGUUCGGGAUUUACAUCCUGGGUAACGUAGCUAACGCGUGAAGUCAGCCGCCUGGGGAGUACGGUCGGCAGAUUAAAACUCCAAGGCAUUGACGGGGACCGGACAAGCGGUGGAUGAUGGUGG
rnacentral:rRNA from 1 species